UCAAAUUUGAAAAAAAGACCACGAGCCAUAAAAAUUACAAAUACCUAAAGAUAUUUUCAGAUAACAACAUUUUUCUUUUGCUCUUGCUGGACAGGGUCUCUGCCCUUUCAGCUCGUAGUGCAGCAGUUUCCAUUUUGAGGUGUGAUGUUCUCAGGUCAGACCUGGGCAUAGGAACCUACCCAAAACGGGGGUGGUUCAUGAACCACUUGCAAGCUCCCCUCCAAGUUGCAGAAGGGCUGGAACUGCAGAAAGCUGAGAUAAGAGCCCUACCCCUUCCUUGGUGCAGUGAACACGAUAUGAAGGAUGAAGAGGAACUCAAGGAUCUCCUCUGCUGGUACCCUUGACUGCAACCCAGUUCUGCUUUCUGAAUUAGAAAGCUGAAUGUGAAACGGAUUAAUAUAAAAACCUACAGAAAAGGGCAAGUGGCAUUUCUGACGUGCCUGAGACACCCGUGCCCAUGUGACUCACAGUUCAUGACUCGUGGAGUGAUGCCAUUCGUAAGUCA